rnacentral:rRNA from 1 species
UACGGAGGGUGCAAGCGUUGUUCGGAUUUAUUGGGCGUAAAGCGCGUGUAGGCGGUCUCUUAAGUCUGAUGUGAAAGCCCUGGGCUCAACCCAGGAAGUGCAUUGGAUACUGGGAGACUUGAAUACGGGGAGAGGGUAGUGGAAUUCCUAGUGUAGGAGUGAAAUCCGUAGAUAUUAGGAGGAACACUGGUGGCGAAGGCGGCUACCUGGACCGAUAUUGACGCUGAGACGCGAAAGCGUGGGGGAGCAAACAGG